rnacentral:lncRNA from 10 species
UUGGAUUAUUGUUUUCCCUGGCAUUGGGUAUUCCUUACAAUGUGCAGAUCAGUACUCUACUUAAUACUUGAAGGAUACCCUCUGCAGAUCUCUGGGGUUCUCUACAUGUAUAGCUCUCUUCUCUAGUAUUCUGACUUGUGAACUCUAGUUAUCUUGUUCUCUCCAGACUCUGAGCUCUAUCACUUCAACUCAAGCUGGCUGGGAUGCCUCUCCCUAUACUUCAACCUGGAAACUCUCUCAAUACUGUGGGAGGAUAAAUGCAUCCCUACUAUUCCAUCUUGAUCAGAAGUGGAAGUAAAGUCCUGAUGAUUUUAAUUCAUUAUUUUAAAACCUCCAUAUCCCAGGUACCAAUGCCCAAGGACAAGUUAUCAUUACUUCACUUGGAUUAGUAUGAUUGCCUUUUGUGUCUAGAGUUUUCUUCCCCUUAAUCUACCUUCACAUAGUCACCAGAGUAACAAAAUUGAAAUGUAAUCUGACCACUUUCGUCUACUUUAAAAAUCUUCAAUGGUCCCCGUUGCCUAUAGGAUUAGACUCCGUUUCCUCAACACAGCAUAUAAAUUCUUCAUGACUUUGAGUCUCAGCCGAGCUUGCUAGUCACCUCCCUAUAUGGAACUUUAUAUCCCAACAAUAAUGAAUUUGUACCUACUUUUCAUCCUCAGCAUGUUGUUUCUUAUCUCUGUGCUUUUGUUUAUGUUGCCUGGAAUUACUGCUUUCUCUUUCUCCUCUUCCUCCCUGGCCAAUAUACCAUCCUUGAAGUUUCAUCUCAGAUAUUACCUUCUCCAGGAAGCACCUCCCCUCGGUUUGGGUUAGAAGGUCCUUUAACAUUUAUGGUCACUUUUAAUAUUGUAAUUUAAUGUAUACAAUGAUGUUUGUGUUUUCCAUUCUAUUGUAAGCUCUUUGAAGACAAGGUUUAUAUCUUAAUCAACUCUAUAAUUGCAAUGACAGACAGCAGCUGCAUAAUAAAUUCAUACUAAACUGAAAGAAUGGAUUAUUUCAAUUGUGUAUACUCUGCCCUUCCAUGUUACCCUGAAUAAUUGCCAAUUGCUUCUUUUAUACCCUUCUUGAGCAUCUGUAAAAAUACCAAGCUUGAAGUUUAUUAAAUAAAUGUGAUUAAAC